AGGGUACCAGCUGAAGGGUGAGAAUGUCUGGAAGAACUUGAGGAAGAAACUCAGGAAAGAAAAAAGCAUGAAAUAGGCUUCCCUUGUUGGGCACUGAGGGCGACCCACUGGCCAGCUGCACCCUUCUUCCAUUGAGGCCACUUGUCCCCUGCCAUGUGAUGUCCCUCUGUGUCUUGUUCAGAGGGCCAGCUUCCUGCUCUUCUUCUCCUAACAACAUUGCCAGAGGAGCAACAUCAGCUCUGCCUGUCCUGGAGAGGAAAGACUCCUAGGCCUUGCCAUGGCUCUGGAGCCUCCAGAUGGCUUCCCCUUCAGUGUGAUGGUGACCUCCGGGCCUAUGUAACCCUCCAACUCUGGGCAGAGGCCCCAUCAGGCCUCAGGGCAGGUUUUUUUCCUGCUCUUGACAACCGUUUGGAAAUUGAAUGAAUUGAGCUCCUUCUUGCUGCUUUUGGAUAACGGGCCCCUUCUAAGUGUAAGACAGAGUGAGGUGGCUGCGUUCUGUAAAAAGUUCAGGCCUUCUGGCCAGACAGACACUUCCAGGACUGGUUGGCCCAAGAAUUAGCCACCCGCCCUGUGUAAGGAAGAUUCUCCUAAUUGGGAAACUCUCCAAUCAGUUCUGUGUGCACUUUGCAGGCUCUCUGGGGGUAGAUUCAUUCACUCAUCAUUCAUGCCGUCAUUUAUCCAUCCACUUAUUCAUACAGCCAUCCCACCCCCCACCUAUCCAUCCCUCCACCUUCCUAUCUAGCCAUCUGUCCUCCCAUCCCCCUCACCCAUCCCUCUCUCCCUCCGUCCCUGCCUCCAGGCUGCAGCUGGACCAGACCCACACUGACCAAGGCUGGGGAGUAGCACCACACCCUCCCUUUGACCUUUGGCGUCACCCUUGGCAGACUCCGGGACCUCUCGGGCCCCUGAGAGCAUUCUGGUGAGUGCCUCUGGUCUCUUCCUGACCCCGCUGCCCCACCCAUGACAGG